rnacentral:lncRNA from 1 species
UCCUAAGUGUUUUGGAAUCCUGUUAUUGGAGAUCGAACUAAUAAUCUCUGUGUGGUAAUUCCAGCCAUGUAGCCUAUUUUGUAAUUAAUUUUAUGUAAUAUAGUGUAUUCAGGCUUUCUUGCCAUCCUACUUUUCCUACUUUUUCCUACUUUUCUUCAACUUUCCUACUUUUCCUAUUUUUUAUUAAAAAUUGCUUUAUUUUCCUACUUUUUCUCAUAAAAUCCUACUUUUUUAAAUUAAGACAGCUUGGGGAAUCAGUAUGUUAUAGCUCUCGUAAUUAGAUCUACAGGACUCGUAAUUUUUAUUCCCUAUUUGUGUCCCAGAUGAUAAGAUCUCAGAAGGAGAAGAAGUACAUUUUCCGAGUAUAAAAUUUCAUAGCAUCUCUAGAAUCAUAAUCAAUAAAUUAAUGAAGACUCUGAAAGUGCCAUUUCCGACGAUCUA